UUACGCCCACAUCACGUUGAAACACCGGUUCACGUACGAUCAGCGAAGUUAAUCAACGUCCAGCCUGGUCAGUAUGGGUAACCACCUGAGAAUAUCACGUGCUGUAAU